rnacentral:tRNA from 2 species
GGAGGAAUGGCAGAGCGGUCGAUUGCGACGAUCCCGAAAAUCGUUUUAGCCCUGGUUGACGAGGGUUCGAAUCCCUCUUCCUCCG